GUGAAUCAUCGAAUCUUUGAACGCACAUUGCGCCCGCCGGCAUUCCGGCGGGCAUGCCUGUUCGAGCGUCAUUUCAACCCUCAGGCACCGCCUGGUGUUGGGGCACCACCGCAGUCGUGGGCCCCCAAACUCAGUGGCGGGCGUCCCCUGGACCCGAGCGCAGUAACAUAUCUCGCUUAGGGCGCCGGGUGCGCUCCGGCCGUUAAACCCCCAACUCAGAAGGUUGACCUCGGAUCAGGUAGGAAUACCCGCUGAACUUAAGCAUAUCAAUAAGCGGAGGA
rnacentral:misc_RNA from 1 species